UACGGGGGGGGCAAGCGUUGUUCGGAAUUACUGGGCGUAAAGGGCUCGUAGGCGGCCAACUAAGUCAUACGUGAAAUCCCUCGGCUUAACCGGGGAACUGCGUCUGAUACUGGAUGGCUUGAGGUUGGGAGGGGGAUGCGGAAUUCCAGGUGUAGCGGUGAAAUGCGUAGAUAUCAGGAGGAACACCGGUGGCGAAGGCGGCUACCUGGACAGAAACUGACGCUGAGGCGCGAAAGCUAGGGGAGCAAACAGG
rnacentral:rRNA from 1 species